AUACACUACAGGGAACGAAGAAAUAUACACUACAGGGAGCGAAGAAAUAUACACUAUAGGGAACGAAGAAAUAUACACUAUAGGGAAUGAAGAAAUAUACACUACCGGAAACAAAAAAAUAUACACAGCAGGGAACGAAGAAAUAUACAUUACAGGAAACAAAAAAAAUACACUACAGGGAGCGAAGAAAUAUACACUAUAAAGAACGAAGAAAUAUACACUACAGGGAGCGAAGAAAUAUACACUAUACAGAACGAAGAAAUAUACACUACAGGGAACGAAGAAAUAUACACUACAGGGCACGAAGAAAUAUACACUACAGGGAACGAAGAAAUAUACACUACAUGGAAUGAAGAAAUAUACACUACAUGGAAUGAAGAAAUAUACACUACAUGGAAUGAAUAGAUAUACACUACAUGGAAUGAAUAAAUAUACACUACAGGGAGCGAAGAAAUAUACACUACAGUGAACGAAAAAAUAUACACUACAGUGAACGAAAAAAAUACACUACAGGGAACGAAGAAAUAUACACUACAGGAAACAAAAAAUAUACACUACAUGGAAUGAAUAAAUAUACACUACAUGGAAUGAA